UACGUAGGUGACGAGCGUUGUCCGGAUUUACUGGGCGUAAAGAGCGCGCAGGCGGUUCGCCAAGUCAGGUGUGAAAUCCCCGGGCUUAGCCUGGGAAUUGCGCUUGAAACUAGCGGGCUUGAGUGUGGCAGAGGGGGGUGGAAUUCCACGUGUAGCAGUGAAAUGCGUAGAGAUGUGGAGGAACACCGAUGGCGAAGGCAGCCCCCUGGGUCAACACUGACGCUCAUGCACGAAAGCGUGGGGAGCAAACAGG
rnacentral:rRNA from 1 species